rnacentral:rRNA from 1 species
AAAUUGAAGAGUUUGAUCAUGGCUCAGAUUGAACGCUGGCGGCAGGCCUAACACAUGCAAGUCGAACGGUAACAGGAAGAAGCUUGCUUCUUUGCUGACGAGUGGCGGACGGGUGAGUAAUGUCUGGGAAACUGCCUGAUGGAGGGGGAUAACUACUGGAAACGGUAGCUAAUACCGCAUAACGUCGCAAGACCAAAGAGGGGGACCCUCGGGCCUCUUGCCAUCGGAUGUGCCCAGAUGGGAUUAGCUUGUUGGUGGGGUAACGGCUCACCAAGGCGACGAUCCCUAGCUGGUCUGAGAGGAUGACC